rnacentral:rRNA from 1 species
UGGCCGGCGUGCCUAAACAUGCAAGUCGAGCGAAUGGAUUAAGAGCUUGCUCUUAUGAAGUUAGCGGCGGACGGGUGAGUAACACGUGGGUAACCUACCCAUAAGACUGGGAUAACUCCGGGAAACCGGGGCUAAUACCGGAUAAUAUUUUGAACUGCAUAGUUCGAAAUUGAAAGGCGGCUUCGGCUGUCACUUAUGGAUGGACCCGCGUCGCAUUAGCUAGUUGGUGAGGUAACGGCUCACCAAGGCGACGAUGCGUAGCCGACCUGAGAGGGUGAUCGGCCACACUGGGACUGAGACACGGCCCAGACUCCUACGGGAGGCAGCAGUAGGGAAUCUUCCGCAAUGGACGAAAGUCUGACGGAGCAACGCCGCGUGAGUGAUGAAGGCUUUCGGGUCGUAAAACUCUGUUGUUAGGGAAGAACAAGUGCUAGUUGAAUAAGCUGGCACCUUGACGGUACCUAACCAGAAAGCCACGGCUAACUACGUGCCAGCAGCCGCGGUAAUACGUAUGUGGCCAGCGUUAUCCGGAAUUAAUUGGACGCUAAGCGCGCGCAGGUGGUUUUUUAAGUCCUGAUG